UCAACCAUUUCUCUAGCACUUGGCUUGUUUCUGCUGCUGUUCUCUGUGACAGUUACAACAGCUCUGUGUCACAGUUCUGCAGUUGCUCUUUAAAGAAGAUUGCUAAUUUUGGCAUUUAUUUACCAGAUCUAGACUAUAUUGCUGUUUCCCCUGCUUUUUCAGCAAUUGGUCUCUGCUAUCACUGUUCAUAUGAGGUACUUAAAAUUGCAAGCUGGUAUAAAUGAAGACCUAAUUCCUAAGAAAAAUGGAGAAGAGGAAUCAUCAUUGGUGACAAUCCAACAUCAAUGGACUUUGAUCAUCUCUGGAAGAAAAAGGAAAAAACAAAACAAAACAAACAAACAAAGCACCCACACGUAUCUUCCCACAAUGUAUCGAGAUCAAUGUCUGAUGUCCAAGACUGGCAUGAAUGUGUUAACCUGUGUGAUGCAACAUGGACACCGUUGUCUCCCUCAGAAGUGACGGCUACCUGGCAGCGUGUCUGUGAAGCAGAUUACAGACCACUUGAUAUAUCUAUGACGCAAAUGUUGUGAUUUAUUUCUAUAAGCAUAGAAAUCUGAAUUUUAAUUUUUUGAUUGACAAAAUUCAGCCCUUAAGAAAUGACCCUUUCCUUUUUCAGUGGUGAGUGUCUUCUAGUGCCACUGGGAAAAUAUUUUUUGAGUUCUUCCUGUUUCAGACAGGAGAAGACUCCAAAGUACCCCAAGUAAGACCAUAACCAGCAAUCAGGAGCAUGAGACCACCUUCAACGGGAAUUUGAACUAUUUUCAAAGGGUGUAUUUGUGUGCAUGUGAGUGCAGAAGACAGUGAAUCCAAAAGAUAAAAACAACAGGAAAAAGGGCAAGGUGGCGGGAGAAAAAGACCACUGAAACACAUAUUUGGCCAUUGAGAUCUGUGGGUCAACAUGUUGUAGAGUUAUUUGAGAGCUUAAAUUCCAUCUAUGGAAUAAUAAAAAAAAAAAUGUUUUAUAAUCCUUAGCCCUUGUGUAUCACAGAACGAAGAUGGAUCUGAUGCUUAGCAUUAUAUUCAUUUACUAUUUUUAUUUACAGACUGGGGCACUAAAGGUAUUUCAGUACUUUCAACUAUUUCAUUUAGAUAGAUGUAUUGUAGUGAACAGUUGUUAAAGUACUUGUAAUACUAAAUAAAUUCAGUGUUGAAUUUAGUUUAUCAAUAAGCAACAUUUUGCUGAAAUUUAGGAACUAAUAAAUUUAAAACUUUGUGAUAACAGUUGCACAAAAAAAAUACAAAAAAAUUGUGGCAGUGUUAAGAAAGCAUGACUUAGAAAAUAAAACUAUUACAGGACCAUUUUCCUUAUUGCUUUUGUCUAAUUCUUGAAACCUGUUACAACCAAAAAUCAUAGAGGUUGAACAUGGUAAAAUAUCGCAGCAGUUAAUAUACCUAUUAAAGGCUUUUAUUGCAGGUGCCAGUUCAAAGAAAAAUUUAGCCUAUUCUGCUCAUAAAAGUGAGACCCAAGUAAUACACUUAUCUUUUAUACAGAAAAUACAAUACAUCUAUAUUCUAGUCAACUUUACAAAUGUUUACUCUGUUUAAGGUUGGUUUCACUGCUAAAAUUGUUUUCUUAAAAAGAAAACUAUCCAAGCUGCUAUUGAAGCAUACCUUCAAGGAAAGACUUACACACCCCUGAACAACUCUUCAUAUGGAUUUUGAUAAGGGGUCAGUUUUGACCCAAGUAAUUGGGAGUGCACAUGUUAAGGUCUUUCAGCUCCCUUGAAGAUCCCACUGACUCACAAGGACUCUGGCAGGACACAAUCCUGUAUUGCAGACGUCUCUGUAGGUUGAAGCCCACUCUUGGAGGACAUGGUUAUCGUUUUUGUUGUGAUGUACAUGACUUCAAGGUCCAAAUAGCUUGACUUGAAUCACUGUAGUCCAGGGAAUUAAAAAAAACCAAACAAACACGAAAGCCUUUAAUAGACUUUAAAACAAUUUUUUCACUGACUUCUUGUUACUGUGGAAUUCUUGACAGAAAUUCUUGAGCUUCUAAUUUCUAAAAAAUACAGUUUUAAUCCGUACUGGAUACAUGAUCCAGCAGAAUGUUCUCAUUAAGCAAUUCUACCAAAAUGGCGGCUAGUUCUUCUUGCUAAUUGGGACUUGUCAUACUUUACAUCUGUAAAAAAAACAAACCAAAACACCUAUAUUGACGAUAAGGACUCAAUAGAAAAAUUACUGUCAGCUCUAUAUCUUCAUUGAAGUUGCCUUUUAAACAAGAAUGUAUUCCCUGAAUUGACUUGAUAACUGAUAAAACAAGACUCAAAGAGGAAAAAUGAAUGAUUUUGAAUUUUUUGUUAAAUAGACAAUUUGUGGACCAUGACUAUGUAUGCAUUUCUGGAGCACACAGAACAGUGGGAUUACUAUCUGCAUGUAAUAA